AUGCGGGACUCAUCAGAGGCCUCGCAAUUGGAAUGAGCGCACUUUAAAUCGUUCGACGAGGAUCUAUUGGAGGGCAAGUCUGGUGCCAGCAGCCGCGGUAAUUCCAGCUCCAAUAGCGUAUAUUAAAGUUGUUGCAGUUAAAAAGCUCGUAGUUGGAUCUGGGGUUCGGGUCGGCGGUUUGCCGCUUCGGCGGCUACUGCCGUGCUCGACUCUUACUAGCCGGUGCGUCUUGCGGUGCUCUUCAUCGAGUGCCGUAGGAGCCUGGCAUGUUUACUUUGAAAAAAUUAGAGUGCUCAAAGCAGGCGAUUCCGCCUGAAUAGUGUUGCAUGGAAUAAUGGAAUAGGACCUCGGUUCUAUUUUGUUGGUUUUCGGAACUUGAGGUAAUGAUUAAGAGGGACGGUCGGGGGCAUUCGUAUUUCGGUGUUAGAGGUGAAAUUCUUGGAUCGCUGAAAGACGGACAAAUGCGAAAGCAUCUGCCAAGAACGUCUCCAUUAAUCAAGAACGAAAGUCAGAGGUUCGAAGACGAUCAGACACAGUCCUAGUUCUGACCAUAAACGAUGCCAACUAGCGAUCCGCAGUGGUUGCUAUAAACGGACUCUGCGAGCAGCUUCCGGGAAACCAAAGUGUUUGGGUUCCGGGGGAAGUAUGGUUGCAAAGCUGAAACUUAAAGGAAUUGACGGAAGGGCACCACCAGGAGUGGAGCCUGCGGCUUAAUUUGACCCAACACGGGGAAACCCACCCGGUCCGGACACUGUAAGGAUUGACAGAUCGAGAGCUCUUUCUUGAUUCGGUGGAUGGUGGUGCAUGGCCGUUCUUAGUUGGUGGAGUGAUUUGUCUGGUUAAUUCCGAUAACGAACGAGACUCUAGCCUGCUAACUAGUUGCGCCGUGUUCAUACGCGGCUGUAGACUUCUUAGAGGGACAGGUGGCGUUUAGCCACACGAAAUUGAGCAAUAACAGGUCUGUGAUGCCCUUAGAUGUCCGGGGCCGCACGCGCGCUACACUGAAGGAGUCAGCGUGUGCUAUCCGGGCUCGGAAGAGUUCGGUAACCCGUUGAAACUCCUUCGUGCUUGGGAUUGUGGCUUGUAAUUAUCGCGCAUGAACGAGGAAUUCCCAGUAAGUGCAAGUCAUCAGCUUGCGCUGACUACGUCCCUGCCCUUUGUACACACCGCCCGUCGCUACUACCGAUUGAAUGGUUUAGCAAGGUACUCGGAUUGGUCUCGAUCUUGUACGAAAGUGCGGGAUCUGUGGCCGAGAAGAAGGCCAAACUUGAUCAUUUAGAGGAAGUAAA
rnacentral:rRNA from 1 species